rnacentral:misc_RNA from 1 species
AACCAUAGAAACCUGCGGAGUACCUGCGGAGGGAUCAUUACAGAGUUGCAAAACUCCCUAAACCAUUGUGAACGUUACCUAAACCGUUGCUUCGGCGGGCGGCCCGGGCCCUUCCCGGCGCCCAUCGGCCCUCGCGGGCGCCCGCCGGAGGUAAACCAAACUAUUGCAUUGUAUGGCCUCUCUGAGUCUUCUGUACUGAAUAAGUCAAAACUUUCAACAAUGGAUCUCAGAUCGGAAGAG